rnacentral:lncRNA from 1 species
GCUCAUGAGCUAAGCACUGCCAAGCUUGAAGUAGUUUUGGUGGGUUUCACUGGGUCCACACGAAACAGCAGUCAAUUUAUGUGAAGUUUCUUAGGAUGAGUCAUUAACAGAAAAUUUCUGAAAUUUCUCCAUAAGUUUCUUCACCAUCUUAUCUGUGAUCCCUGGACAUGUUGCUUCUGCCAUAUUGAUGCUUUUUUCAAGUUCCUCAAUUGCCUUCUUUCUGCUAGCAUUAUUUGUGUCCUGCUGCUUGAGCUCAGCAAAGACAGGAGUGAUUAUCAUAGUUAAACAACUCAAGGUUUUAACAAGAUCUUGAUCCGUCCCAUUCUGCAGCUUCUUUGCAUCCGGUUUCUUCCGAACUGUAGUAAAGCUCCACUCCGGAUGAGAGUUGUUUUCUUUGUUACUUGAUUCCGAAUCAGAACCAUCGGAAUCACUCUCAUCACUACUAUGUCCCUCUGCUUUCCAUCUCUUAAACCUAUCAAUUAGUUCUGUCAGGUAUGAAGUCUUCUUGGCAUUUUUCAUAAUGAAUUUGUGCUUCAGGAGUUCUUUUGCUGUAGGGCGAAAUGUUGGAUCCUUAUUGAGACACGCAUCGAUGAACUCUUUAAAAGGUUUACUGAAUUCUCCUAAUAAAGUUGGAGGAUUGUUUUUUGGAAUGAGAAACAGAACUCUCAUCGGAUGCAUAUCAGAGUUGGGUGGCUCCCCUUUGGCUAGUUCGAUAGCAGUGAUUCCCAAUGACCAGAUGUCAGCUUUGGAAUCGUAUGCUGACUGCUGAAUAACUUCAGGGGCCAUCCAAAAUGGAGUUCCAACAAAGGUAUUCCUCUUAAUUUGCGUGUCCGUCAACUGCCCAGCAACUCCAAAAUCAGCAAGCUUAACGUCACCUUGCUCUGAUAACAAGACGUUGGCAGCUUUUAUAUCCCUGUGAAUCUUCUUCUCUGAGUGCAGGUAGUCAAGACCUUUCAGGAUUUCCUUUAGCAUAGUAGCUAUCUGGAACUCAUCAAAAGGCCCAGCACGAAGAAGAUCCAAAGCUGAUCCUCCACCCAAGUAUUCCAUUAUUAUCCAUAGUUUUGUGCCCUUUAAAUAUGAUCCGUAGUAUUUCGUUACGUAAGGACUAUCACACUGACUUAAAACAGUUAUCUCUUGCUGUAUAUCUUCUAUUUCAUCUUCUGCUUCCUCGAGGUCUAUGAUUUUUAUAGCAACCACUUGCUGUGUCCGAUUAUCAAUUCCUUUAAAGACUUCACCAAAGGAGCCUUUCCCAAUGCGUUCCAGUUUUGUGAAUAAUUCUUCUGGGUCUGCUCUAUGAUUCUGCAUGCCGGGCACUUGCACCGCCACGGGCGAGUGGGCCAUGGCGGGCUGCGGCGGCCGGGCGCCGCCCGCUGCUCCCUCCUCUCGGCCUCCCUGCUGCUGGGCGGCGGCGGGGCCUCGCUGGGGCCGCGGGGCCGGGGCCGAGCUGCGCGACGCGGGCGGGAAGGGGUCCACUAGCGCCGCUCUGCCAUGCCCGCCGGGCUCCCCGCGGCGGCCCUGCCCAUGCCCCCCUUCCCGCUCCCGAAGCGGGGACGGCGGCUGCUCGGUGCUCCCCGGGUGGCGGCUCUCUGCGCGGCCGGGGCUGGGCUCAGAGCGCCAUGUCGGGCCCCGGGCAGGAGGAGGAGGACGAGGAGGAGGCGGCUGCUGUGCGGCGGCGGCUUCUUCCGUCUCAGCUCCGGCCUUGUGGGGCGGAGCCGCCGCCGCCGCACGGGCCUCGGCGUCACUGCCCCGCCUCCGGGCCGGGCGGGGAGGAGCGGCCGGGCGGCGGCGGGGCUCCGAGCGUGGUGUCGUGCGGGCGGGGACGCUCGCUCUGCUGUGGGGCCCUGCGGCGCUGUCACAGCGCUGUGUCCCCCUCAGGCGCCUUGUGGCAGUGCCGCGUCCCCUGCAGGCCCUGUGCUACCGAGCGCAGUACCCACAAGCACAGCCACAGCGCCCGUACCGCGGUGUCCCCUGUGCGAAUAAUUCGGU